UUAUUCCACUAUCGACAAUGGGUGUGAAUCUAGUGCUUCACAUGUUUUUGCUACUGUGACUAGAUCCACACUCAUUAACGAUGGCUCGAAU
rnacentral:pre_miRNA from 1 species